CACGUAGGCACCAAGCGUUGUCCGGAUUUAUUGGGCGUAAAGAGCUCGUAGGCGGUUCGGUAAGUCGGGUGUGAAAACUCUGGGCUCAACUCAGAGAGGCCACCCGAUACUGCCGUGACUUGAGUCCGGUAGGGGAGCACGGAAUUCCUGGUGUAGCGGUGAAAUGCGUAGAUAUCUGGAGGAACACCGGUGGCGAAGGCGGCAUUCUGGACCGACAUUGACGCUGAGGAGCGAAAGCCAGGGGAGCAAAGCGGG
rnacentral:rRNA from 1 species